AUGGGGGCAUUUGGGGACACCAUAGGGACACUAUGGGUGAUCUGGGGACAUGUGGGGACACUUUGGAGGCACUGUAGGGUGAUUAAGGAGCACUAUGGGCGGUGUCCCCCCUUUUGGGGACACCAUGGGGACAUUUCAUCCCAUUUGGGGACAUUCUGGGGACAUUUGAGCCCAUUUGGGGACACCUUGAGGACACCCUGGGGACAUUUGAACUCAUCUGGGGACCCCCUGGGGACAUUUCAGCCCACUUGGGGACAUUUGGGGACCCCUUGGGGACAUUUCAUCCCAUGUGGGGACAGCAUGGGGACACCCUGGGGACAUUUGAACCCAUCUGGGGACACCCUGGGGACAUUUCAGCCCAUGUGGGGACAUCUGGGGACCCCUUGGGGACAUUUCAUCCCAUUUGGGGACAUUUUGGGGACACCCUGGGGACAUUUGAACCCAUCUGGGGACAUUCUGAGGACAUUUCAUCCCAUUUGGGCACAUUCUGGGGGACAUUUCAGCCCAUCUGGGGACAUCUGGGGACCCCUUGGGGACAUUUCAUCCCAUUUGGGGACAGCAUGGGGACAUUUGAGCCCAUGUGGGGACAGUAUGGGGACACCCUGGGGACAUCUGAACCCAUCUAGGGACCCCCUGGGGACAUUUCAGCCCACUUGGGGACAUUUGGGGACCCCUUGGGGACAUUUCAGCCCAUUUGGGGACCAUUGGAGCCCAUUUGGGGACAUUUCAUCCCAUUUGAGGACAUCUUGGGGACCCCUUGGAGACAUUUUGAGCCCAUUUGUGGACCCACUGGGAACGCUUCAGCCCACUGGGGACACCUCAAGGAUCCCCUUGGGGACAUUGUAUGGGGACACCCUGAGGAGGGUGACAUUUAGGGGACGUUUUUGGGGACCUCGUGGCUGCUGUCCCUACAUAGGAGCCACGCAGCUGCGGACUCUGUCCCUGUCCCAAAAUGCCAUCGGGACCGCAGGGCUGGAGGAGCUGCUGCUCUGCGUCCCCGACGGUGUCACCAACCUGGAGGUGGCCGCCAUCGGGGGACAGCGUCCGCUUGGUGUCACCAAGCUGUGUGACUUCCUGCGUCAGGGCGGCUGUGUUUCGUGGCCGCGUUCGCAGCGUCGACGCUUCGGCCAACGGAGCCGUGGGCGCUGCGUGGCUGCGGGCGCUGCAGGCGGCGCUGGCGGGGCGGCCCCACACACUGCGCCACCUCAACCUGGCAGGUUGCUCCCUGCAGCUCCCGCCGGACGACGCUGUGUGGGAACAACUGGGGGCAGCGGUGGAAGAACUGCGGAUCCGGGGGGCAGCGCGAUGGGGGGGGCAAAAGGGGGGGGGAGAGAUGGGGGGCAGAGGGAUGGGGGGCAGAGCGAUGUGGGGCACAGGAGUGGGGGGCAGCGAUGUGGGGCAGGGCGAUGGGGGGGCUGA
rnacentral:lncRNA from 1 species